rnacentral:rRNA from 1 species
UACGUAGGGUGCGAGCGUUGUCCGGAAUUAUUGGGCGUAAAGAGCUCGUAGGCGGUGUGUCACGUCGGCCGUGAAAACCUGCAGCUUAACUGUGGGCGUGCGGUCGAUACGGGCAUCACUGGAGUUCGGCAGGGGAGACUGGAAUUCCUGGUGUAGCGGUGAAAUGCGCAGAUAUCAGGAGGAACACCGGUGGCGAAGGCGGGUCUCUGGGCCGAUACUGACGCUGGAGGAGCGAAAGCGUGGGGAGCAAACGGG